rnacentral:lncRNA from 1 species
GAUAAACGAUAGCUCAUUUGAUGAAGAUAUGCAGUAAUGAAUAUGCACUGUUCUCUGCCAUAUUCAGAACACAAAGAGCACCUGUUCCAUCCAGAAAUUGUGCAAUAAAAGAAAUGUAUCAAAAUCAGAUUGAACACAUGACCGCAUGUAUAAACUCUUUUUAAUAUAAUUUCUUAUAUUAUGUGUUACAUUCAUGAAUAAAACUAGUAUGAAACUUUAAAACUUGAACCACCACCCCUACUCAAACAUUACUCACCUACCCUAAACCCCUGUUAAACGGGUAAUCCCCUCAACACUUUACACUCUAAACACACUACAAAACAUUAAAUCCCAGACUGAAAUUAAUUUUAGAAAUUUUUA